GACGAACGCUGGCGGCGUGCUUAACACAUGCAAGUCGAGCGAUGAAAUCCCUUCGGGGAUGGAUUAGCGGCGGACGGGUGAGUAACACGUGGGUAACCUGCCUCAAAGAGGGGGAUAGCCUCCCGAAAGGGAGAUUAAUACCGCAUAACAUUAGUUUUUCGCAUGGAGGACUAAUUAAAGGAGUAAUCCGCUUUGAGAUGGACCCGCGGCGCAUUAGCUAGUUGGUGAGGUAACGGCUCACCAAGGCGACGAUGCGUAGCCGACCUGAGAGGGUGAUCGGCCACAUUGGAGCUGAGACACGGUCCAGACUCCUACGGGAGGCAGCAGUGGGGAAUAUUGAACAAUGGGCGAAAGCCUGCUGCAGCAACGCCGCGUGAGUGAUGAAGGCCUUCGGGUUGUAAAGCUCUGUCUUUUGGGACGAUAAUGACGGUACCAAAGGAGGAAGCCACGGCUAACUACGUGCCAGCCGCCGCCGUAA
rnacentral:rRNA from 1 species